rnacentral:rRNA from 2 species
CAGUCGACGACUCUGGUAUUGAUUGGUGCUUGCAUCAUGAUUUACAUUUGAGUGAGUGGCGAACUGGUGAGUAACACGUGGGAAACCUGCCCAGAAGCGGGGGAUAACACCUGGAAACAGAUGCUAAUACCGCAUAACAACUUGGACCGCAUGGUCCGAGUUUGAAAGAUGGCUUCGGCUAUCACUUUUGGAUGGUCCCGCGGCGUAUUAGCUAGAUGGUGGGGUAACGGCUCACCAUGGCAAUGAUACGUAGCCGACCUGAGAGGGUAAUCGGCCACAUUGGGACUGAGACACGGCCCAAACUCCUACGGGAGGCAGCAGUAGGGAAUCUUCCACAAUGGACGAAAGUCUGAUGGAGCAACGCCGCGUGAGUGAAGAAGGGUUUCGGCUCGUAAAACUCUGUUGUUAAAGAAGAACAUAUCUGAGAGUAACUGUUCAGGUAUUGACGGUAUUUAACCAGAAAGCCACGGCUAACUACGUGCCAGCAGCCGCGGUAAUACGUAGGUGGCAAGCGUUGUCCGGAUUUAUUGGGCGUAAAGCGAGCGCAGGCGGUUUUUUAAGUCUGAUGUGAAAGCCUUCGGCUCAACCGAAGAAGUGCAUCGGAAACUGGGAAACUUGAGUGCAGAAGAGGACAGUGGAACUCCAUGUGUAGCGGUGAAAUGCGUAGAUAUAUGGAAGAACACCAGUGGCGAAGGCGGCUGUCUGGUCUGUAACUGACGCUGAGGCUCGAAAGUAUGGGUAGCAAACAGGAUUAGAUACCCUGGUAGUCCAUACCGUAAACGAUGAAUGCUAAGUGUUGGAGGGUUUCCGCCCUUCAGUGCUGCAGCUAACGCAUUAAGCAUUCCGCCUGGGGAGUACGGCCGCAAGGCUGAAACUCAAAGGAAUUGACGGGGGCCCGCACAAGCGGUGGAGCAUGUGGUUUAAUUCGAAGCUACGCGAAGAACCUUACCAGGUCUUGACAUACUAUGCAAAUCUAAGAGAUUAGACGUUCCCUUCGGGGACAUGGAUACAGGUGGUGCAUGGUUGUCGUCAGCUCGUGUCGUGAGAUGUUGGGUUAAGUCCCGCAACGAGCGCAACCCUUAUUAUCAGUUGCCAGCAUUAAGUUGGGCACUCUGGUGAGACUGCCGGUGACAAACCGGAGGAAGGUGGGGAUGACGUCAAAUCAUCAUGCCCCUUAUGACCUGGGCUACACACGUGCUACAAUGGAUGGUACAACGAGUUGCGAACUCGCGAGAGUAAGCUAAUCUCUUAAAGCCAUUCUCAGUUCGGAUUGUAGGCUGCAACUCGCCUACAUGAAGUCGGAAUCGCUAGUAAUCGCGGAUCAGCAUGCCGCGGUGAAUACGUUCCCGGGCCUUGUACACACCGCCCGUCACACCAUGAGAGUUUGUAACACCCAAAGUCGGU